UACGUAGGGUGCAAGCGUUAAUCGGAAUUACUGGGCGUAAAGCGUGCGCAGGCGGUUUUGUAAGACAGGCGUGAAAUCCCCGGGCUCAACCUGGGAAUUGCGCUUGUGACUGCAAAGCUGGAGUGCAGCAGAGGGGGAUGGAAUUCCGCGUGUAGCAGUGAAAUGCGUAGAUAUGCGGAGGAACACCGAUGGCGAAGGCAAUCCCCUGGGCCUGCACUGACGCUCAUGCACGAAAGCGUGGGGAGCAAACAGG
rnacentral:rRNA from 1 species